rnacentral:rRNA from 1 species
AGAGUUUGAUCCUGGCUCAGAUUGAACGCUGGCGGCAUGCCUUACACAUGCAAGUCGAACGGCAGCACGGGAGCAAUCCUGGUGGCGAGUGGCGAACGGGUGAGUAAUAUAUCGGAACGUGCCCAGUCGUGGGGGAUAACGUAGCGAAAGCUACGCUAAUACCGCAUACGAUCUACGGAUGAAAGCGGGGGACUCGUAAGGGCCUCGCGCGAUUGGAGCGGCCGAUAUCAGAUUAGGUUGUUGGUGAGGUAAAAGCUCACCAAGCCUGCGAUCUGUAGCUGGUCUGAGAGGACGACCAGCCACACUGGAACUGAGACACGGUCCAGACUCCUACGGGAGGCAGCAGUGGGGAAUUUUGGACAAUGGACGCAAGUCUGAUCCAGCAAUGCCGCGUGCAGGACGAAGGCCUUCGGGUUGUAAACUGCUUUUGUACGGAACGAAACGGUCUGCUUUAAUACAGUGGGCUAAUGACGGUACCGUAAGAAUAGC